AUUGAAAUAUGUCUGUUUUUUAAUUAACUGAGCAAAAUAUUUGAAUUGGAGAGAGUAUUGCUUCAACACAUGAAGGCUUGCUUUGCAAUGCCUUCAGUUUCUUUUAUUUAUAGAACGAAAAAACUUUACAAGCAUCUUUACACGUUUUUUAAAUGCUAACCUAUAAGCCAAAAAGGCUAGUACCUAGGCUAGUACACUAAAAAGUUUAAAGUCUUUAUAGCCUUAAAAAUUUCUACAAGUCUAGAAAAGUCUACAUAGGCAAUAAUUACAAUUCGUAAAGACUAAAAAUCUAUACAAUGAAUUCAAUAUCUUGUCUCCGUUGAUGUUGUCGUAUCUGCUAUAUCUCCAUUAUUACUUCUUAUCUUAUCUUUCCAGCUGGCAUUUUGUCUUCUUGAUUUUUAUUCUAGAUGUACUUCUGGAAUAAUGUUAUCUUCUCCAUUACAUCUUGAACAUUGGUGAUCUGGAUAUUUGUGUNNNNN
rnacentral:lncRNA from 1 species